rnacentral:Y_RNA from 1 species
UGCUGGUCUGAGUGCAGUGGUGUUUUCAACUAAUUGAUCACAACCAGUUACAGAUUGCUUUGUUAUGUUACACUCCCACUUCACUUAACUAGCAAAAA